UACGGGGGGGGCAAGCGUUGUUCGGAAUUACUGGGCGUAAAGGGCUCGUAGGCGGCCAACUAAGUCAGACGUGAAAUCCCUCGGCUUAACCGGGGAACUGCGUCUGAUACUGGAUGGCUUGAGUUUGGGAGAGGGAUGCGGAAUUCCAGGUGUAGCGGUGAAAUGCGUAGAUAUCUGGAGGAACACCGGUGGCGAAGGCGGCAUCCUGGACCGGUAUUGACGCUGAGGAGCGAAAGCCAGGGGAGCAAAGCGGG
rnacentral:rRNA from 1 species